UACGUAGGGUGCGAGCGUUGUCCGGAAUUAUUGGGCGUAAAGAGCUUGUAGGCGGUUUGUCGCGUCUGCUGUGAAAGUCCGGGGCUCAACUCCGGAUCUGCGGUGGGUACGGGCAGACUAGAGUGAUGUAGGGGGAGACUGGAAUUCCUGGUGUAGCGGUGAAAUGCGCAGAUAUCAGGAGGAACACCGGUGGCGAAGGCGGGUCUCUGGGCAGUAACUGACGCUGAGGAGCGAAAAGCGUGGGGGAGCGAAACAGG
rnacentral:rRNA from 1 species